rnacentral:rRNA from 1 species
CGGACGGGUGAGUAACGCGUGAGUAUUUACCUUUAGGAGGGGGACAACAAUUGGAAACGAUUGCUAAUACCCCCAUAUGCUUUAGAGUGAAAUAGAUUUAUCUGCCUAAAGAAAAGCUCGCGGCUGAUUAGCUAGUUGGUAAGGUAAUGGCUUACCAAGGCGACGAUCAGUAUCUGGUUUGAGAGGACGAUCAGACACACUGGAACUGAGACACGGUCCAGACUCCUACGGGAGGCAGCAGUGGGGAAUUUUCCGCAAUGGGCGAAAGCCUGACGGAGCAAUACCGCGUGAGGGAAGACUGCCUAUGGGUUGUAAACCUCUUUUUUCAGGGAGGAAUAAAUGGCGUGUACCUGAAGAAUAAGCAUCGGCUAACUCCGUGCCAGCAGCCGCGGUAAGACGGAGGAUGCAAGUGUUAUCCGGAAUCACUGGGCGUAAAGCGUCUGUAGGUUGUUGUUUAAGUCAACUGUUAAAUCUUGAGGCUCAACUUCAAAAUCGCAGUCGAAACUAUUCAACUAGAGUAUAGUAGGGGUAAAGGGAAUUUCCAGUGGAGCGGUGAAAUGCGUAGAUAUUGGAAAGAACACCGAUGGCGAAGGCACUUUACUGGGCUAUUACUAACACUCAGAGACGAAAGCUAGGGUAGCAAAUGGGAUUAGAUACCCCAGUAGUC